GGAUUGUGGCUCAGUGGUAAAGCGCUCACCUAGCACACAUGAGGCUCUGGGUUCGAUCCUCAGCACCA
rnacentral:tRNA from 1 species